rnacentral:rRNA from 1 species
GAUGAACGCUGGCGGCGUGCCUAAUACAUGCAAGUCGAGCGAACAGACGAGGAGCUUGCUCCUCUGACGUUAGCGGCGGACGGGUGAGUAACACGUGGAUAACCUACCUAUAAGACUGGGAUAACUUCGGGAAACCGGAGCUAAUACCGGAUAACAUGUUGAACCGCAUGGUUCAACAGUGAAAGACGGUCUUGCUGUCACUUAUAGAUGGAUCCGCGCCGCAUUAGCUAGUUGGUAAGGUAACGGCUUACCAAGGCAACGAUGCGUAGCUGACCUGAGAGGGUGAUCGGCCACACUGGAACUGAGACACGGUCCAGACUCCUACGGGAGGCAGCAGUAGGGAAUCUUCCGCAAUGGGCGAAAGCCUGACGGAGCAACGCCGCGUGAGUGAAGAAGGUCUUCGGAUCGUAAAACUCUGUUAUUAGGGAAGAACAAAUGUGUAAGUAACUAUGCACGUCUUGACGGUACCUAAUCAGAAAGCCACGGCUAACUACGUG